UUCUGGGGAGCCUGGUUGGUCCACGGCUUAUCGCAGGCAUCUAGGGAUCUCUUAUGGGAUUUGGGCACCAGGCACCAGACGAUGCUACAUGUCUGCUUGAAAUCCGUGGAGUAAUUUGUGUUUGAAGAGGGACUCUGAUCCCUUUACAGCACCUAUUACUUCCGUCCUAAACUAUAUGUCCCAUCUUUUUUCUAUGAGUCCCA